rnacentral:rRNA from 1 species
CCUGACUGCUAUCGGAUUGAUACUAAGCCAUGCGAGUCAUUGUAGCAAUACAAGGCAGACGGCUCAGUAACGCGUAGUCAAUCUACCCUAUGGACGGGAAUAACCUCGGGAAACUGAGAAUAAUGCCCGAUAGAACAUUAUACCUGGAACGGUUUAUGUUUCAAAUGAUUUAUCGCCGUAGGAUGGGACUGCGGCCUAUCAGUUUGUUGGUGAGGUAAUGGCCCACCAAGACUAUUACAGGUACGGGCUCUGAGAGGAGUAGCCCGGAGAUGGGUACUGAGACACGGACCCAGGCCCUAUGGGGCGCAGCAGGCGAGAAAACUUUGCAAUGUGCGAAAGCACGACAAGGUUAAUCCGAGUGGUUUCUGCUAAAGAAACCUUUUGCUAGUCCUAGAAACACUAGUGAAUAAGGGGUGGGCAAGUUCUGGUGUCCA